AUUACUUCCCUGCCCUUUGUACACACCGCCCGUCGCUACUACCGAUUGAAUGGCUUAGUGAGACUUUCGGAUGUGUUUGGAGCCGCUGGCAACAGUGACACCUUGCGCAGAAGUUAUUCAAACUUGGUCAUUUAGAGGAAGUAAAAGUCGUACCAAGGUUUCCGUAGGUGAACCUGCGGAAGGAUCAUUA
rnacentral:rRNA from 1 species